CCCAUCUCCAUGCACUUCUUACUGUGGGCCUUGGAUUUCAUGUGCUUGGUCAGAUUUCCUGCAAGAAGAGAGGCAGAAAGGUCUUAUAGGAGAAGUUGCAGUGGACACAGUGGUAUGGCCGGACAUCAGAGUGGGUGCGAAUAUGUUUACGCAGCAUGCUGGGUUUCUUACAGCGGAUCCCACAUUCCUCACAGAUGUAUUUACCGCGCCCACGCCCACGCACACGCCACAGAUUACAUAAUGUGUCCCCACCCCUGCGCUGCCGUGGAGCAAAACAAAGGCACCCUGCCAGCAGAAACACAGCAACGGAGGCGCAUGAGAAGAGGGCAGAGUGUUUGUUUAUUUGUGAGCCUUUGGAAAAAAAAAAAAAAAAAAAAAAAAAAGG